AUUCACCGUUACGCUACAGAUUUUGAGUACAACUAUUCCCAAACAGUUUGCGAUUAUAUGGCGGUUGUACAGAUGUUCACGAUUAUCGCCUCCGCGAUGAUCGUUUGCACGAUGUCACUGGAACGAUUCAUGGCUAUCGUGUUUCCAUACGUUUACAAGUCUAUUCAAAAAGGAAGCCGAAGCUUAGUGAUGUUAGUCUGUGUCUGGGCUUUGUCUGCUUUUCUAUCGUCUGGUCAUCUUAUGGCGGGAAGACACAGCAGACUUUUCUAUCCAGACUCUUGGUGUUUUGUGAAUUUUGUCUCCGACAAUUCUACGGAUUUGGUUUUCUCCUUUCUUUACGCGUUGACUGGGCUUUUCUUGUUGAUUACCACAUUCGUAACGAACGUGAUUCUAGUGGUUGUAAUGAUAAAAAAGAAGUGCUCUAAAUCUUCAUCAUUAACCGCAGACAGGCAUGGGACACACAUCAUUCUCUUUCUCUUCUCCGUGGUUCUUCUGUUCAGCAUCUGCAUUUUACCUAUACUAAUGAAUAUGCUGCAACAUCUGAUUGGGAUACACGAGAGUUCGCCAUCCUUUGAGUUACUUGGUAUAGAGAUGGCCACCGCUAACUCGGUUAUCGACCCUUGGGUCUACAUCAUCUUCCGCAGAGAGACGUUUACUCUGAUCCGCAGGGCCUAUUACACGUGUACGUGUACACGUAUGCCGGUAUACAGCUCGGAGGCCAAACAAAGCACGGACUGUACCCAGCCCAUGAAUCGGGAAAAUGGCGAUCUUAAUAAAGAGGAAGCAUAAAGGGAUUGUCAAAGACACCCGGUGUUGGAAAAAAAAACAAGCAAAAAUUCAAUUUUUGUAAACAGUUCUUGCUACUAUAGUCUUCGAAAGAACAAAGUUUUGUUUGCAAGUUAGAGACAAAAAGAACAUAUGUAUGACAUUGAUGUAAACUGUUUAUGAUAAGUUCAUUUUGUACCUACACGUGUAGUGAAAAUUAAAGAACAAUUUACAUAC
rnacentral:misc_RNA from 1 species